AGCGAACAUUGGCGGUAGGCUUAACACAUGCAAGUCGAGCGAGGCGUAAUAGUCGAGCGGCGAACGGGUGAGUAAUACUUGGGAAUCUGCCCUGAAGUGGGGGAUAACGUCCAGAAAUGGACGCUAAUACCGCAUAAUCCAUAUCGGGAAAGCGCGCUGCGCUUUAGGAUGAGCCCAAGCCUGAUUAGCUAGUUGGUGGGGUAAAGGCCCACCAAGGCGACGAUCAGUAGCUGGUCUGAGAGGAUGAUCAGCCACACUGGAACUGAGACACGGUCCAGACUCCUACGGGAGGCAGCAGUGGGGAAUCUUGCGCAAUGGGGGCAACCCUGACGCAGCCAUACCGCGUGUGUGAUGAAGGCCUUAGGGUUGUAAAGCUCUUUUACCCGGGAUGAUAAUGACAGUACCGGGAGAAUAAGCUCCGGCUAACUCCGUGCCAGCAGCCGCAGUAA
rnacentral:rRNA from 1 species